UGAUUGGUGCUUGCAUCAUGAAUUACAUUUGAGUGAGUGGCGAACUGGUGAGUAACACGUGGGAAACCUGCCCAGAAGCGGGGGAUAACACCUGGAAACAGAUGCUAAUACCGCAUAACAACUUGGACCGCAUGGUCCGAGUUUGAAAGAUGGCUUCGGCUAUCACUUUUGGAUGGUCCCGCGGCGUAUUAGCUAGAUGGUGAGGUAACGGCUCACCAUGGCAAUGAUACGUAGCCGACCUGAGAGGGUAAUCGGCCACAUUGGGACUGAGACACGGCCCAAACUCCUACGGGAGGCAGCAGUAGGGAAUCUUCCACAAUGGACGAAAGUCUGAUGGAGCAACGCCGCGUGAGUGAAGAAGGGUUUCGGCUCGUAAAACUCUGUUGUUAAAGAAGAACAUAUCUGAGAGUAACUGUUCAGGUAUUGACGGUAUUUAACCAGAAAGCCACGGCUAACUACGUGCCAGCAGCCGCGGUAAUACGUAGGUGGCAAGCGUUGUCCGGAUUUAUUGGGCGUAAAGCGAGCGCAGGCGGUUUUUUAAGUCUGAUGUGAAAGCCUUCGGCUCAACCGAAGAAGUGCAUCGGAAACUGGGAAACUUGAGUGCAGAAGAGGACAGUGGAACUCCAUGUGUAGCGGUGAAAUGCGUAGAUAUAUGGAAGAACACCAGUGGCGAAGGCGGCUGUCUGGUCUGUAACUGACGCUGAGGCUCGAAAGUAUGGGUAGCAAACAGGAUUAGAUACCCUGGUAGUCCAUACCGUAAACGAUGAAUGCUAAGUGUUGGAGGGUUUCCGCCCUUCAGUGCUGCAGCUAACGCAUUAAGCAUUCCGCCUGGGGAGUACGGCCGCAAGGCUGAAACUCAAAGGAAUUGACGGGGGCCCGCACAAGCGGUGGAGCAUGUGGUUUAAUUCGAAGCUACGCGAAGAACCUUA
rnacentral:rRNA from 1 species